rnacentral:rRNA from 1 species
AGCUGUUCUGAGAGGAUGAUCAGCCACACUGGAACUGAGACACGGUCCAGACUCCUACGGGAGGCAGCAGUGGGGAAUAUUGCACAAUGGGGGAAACCUUGAUGCAGCCAUGCCGCGUGUGUGAAGAAGGCCCUAGGGUUGUAAAGCACUUUCAGUCAGGAGGAAAGGUUAGUAGUUAAUACCUAUUAGCUGUGACGUUACUGACAGAAGAAGGACCGGCUAACUCCGUGCCAGCAGCCGCGGUAAUACGGAGGGUCCGAGCGUUAAUCG